rnacentral:rRNA from 1 species
GUUGUUGGGGACGCAGGGCGAGGGGUUAAUAGCCCCGAGCUUGACGGUACCCUUCGAGGAAGCCCCGGCUAACUACGUGCCAGCAGCCGCGGUAAUACGUAGGGGGCGAGCGUUGUCCGGAAUUAUUGGGCGUAAAGAGCGUGUAGGCGGUUCGGUAAGUCUGCUGUGAAAACCCGGGGCUCAACCCCGGGCGUGCAGUGGAUACUGCCGGGCUAGAGGGUGGUAGAGGCGAGUGGAAUUCCCAGUGUAGCGGUGAAAUGCGCAGAUAUUGGGAGGAACACCGGUAGCGAAGGCGGCUCGCUGGGCCAUACCUGACGCUGAGACGCGAAAGCUAGGGGAGCGAACAGGAUUAGAUACCCUGGUAGUCCUAGCCGUAAACGAUGAACACUAGGUGUGGGCGGAGUCGAAUCUGUCCGUGCCGAAGCCAACGCGAUAAGUGUUCCGCCUGGGGAGUAC